UGGGGAAUUUUGGACAAUGGGCGAAAGCCUGAUCCAGCAAUGCCGCGUGUGUGAAGAAGGCCUUCGGGUUGUAAAGCACUUUUGUCCGGAAAGAAAUCCUUGGCUCUAAUACAGUCGGGGGAUGACGGUACCGGAAGAAUAAGCACCGGCUAACUACGUGCCAGCAGCCGCGGUAAUACGUAGGGUGCAAGCGUUAAUCGGAAUUACUGGGUGUAAAGCGUGCGCAGGCGGUUUGCUAAGACCGAUGUGAAAUCCCCGGGCUCAACCUGGGAACUGCAUUGGUGACUGGCAGGCUAGAGUAUGGCAGAGGGGGGUAGAAUUCCACGUGUAGCAGUGAAAUGCGUAGAGAUGUGGAGGAAUACCGAUGGCGAAGGCAGCCCCCUGGGCCAAUACUGACGCUCAUGCACGAAAGCGUGGGGAGCAAACAGGAUUAGAUACCCUGGUAGUCCACGCCCUAAACGAUGUCAACUAGUUGUUGGGGAUUCAUUUCCUUAGUAACGUAGCUAACGCGUGAAGUUGACCGCCUGGGGAGUACGGUCGCAAGAUUAAAACUCAAAUGAAUUGACGGGGUCAUAGCUGUUUCC
rnacentral:rRNA from 1 species